rnacentral:misc_RNA from 1 species
GUGGAGAGAACCAUGAACCUUUUGUAUCAUAUGAAGGCCUUGAGCAGCUGCAUCGCUUCAUUUUCGUCAUGGCCAUUACUCAUAUAUCUUAUAGUUGCUUGACAAUGCUGCUGGCGAUUGUUAAGGUCCACAGUUGGAGGGUGUGGGAAGAUCAAGCUCAGAAUGACAGGCAUGAUGUACUAACUGAAAUUUCUAGAGCCAAGACAUUCCGAAGGCAGUCAACUUUUGUCAGAGUUCACACAUCAAGUCCACUUGCCAGAAACCAUUUCCUUGUUUGGGUGACCUGUUUCUUCCGGCAGUUUGGCCGCACAGUUGUCCG